rnacentral:rRNA from 1 species
UACGUAGGUGGCAAGCUUUGUCCGGAUUUACUGGGCGUAAAGAGCGCGCAGGCGGUCGUUCAAGUCGCGUGUGAAAGCCCCCGGCUCAACUGGGGAGGGUCACGCGAUACUGAUCGACUCGAAGGCAGGAGAGGGUAGUGGAAUUCCCGGUGUAGUGGUGAAAUGCGUAGAUAUCGGGAGGAACACCAGUGGCGAAGGCGGCUCACUGGACCGGAACUGACGCUGAGGCGCGAAAGCUAGGGGAGCAAACGGG